UAGUCCAUUCUGUCUGUGGGUGUUCACUUCAUAUAGGGGGAAACACAUAGAAGACACACCAGAAGGAAAAGUGCCAUGUGUUCACAAACCCAUGGUUUCCUGGAAAGGAAGUAUCUGGUGAGACAUCUGUAUGAGUUGUUACUCCUUCCAUCUGAGGGUACCUGCUUGAUCUUGCUUUGUUCACAUACAGGAAAUGCAUUUAUAAAGACAGGGCCCAGAGUGAUGCUUCUUGAUCCUUCUGGCACCAUCAGAAGCCAGUGAGAAAACUCUUCAUUACCACAUAGCACCAGCUCCUCCAUCAUUCAUGGAAAGAAAAAUGACUCACUCACAUUCCACACAUUUACAUGGCAAAAGGCAGAGAAUAUUUGAUAUGCUCUGUAUAAUCUGUCAGGAAGGAUAUGUUAACACAUGCUCUAAGGACUGAGCCUUCACAGAUUAUUCUCCAAUUAUAUAGGUAAAGCAUCUUGGAAAUAAACAUUUCUUCCAUAAAUGUUAUUUACUAUUUUUUUUUCAAAAGGGUUUCCAAUCAUUUUUCAAGUUCUGAAUAUUCCAUGAUAUAGCUAGAGCUAAAUUUGUACCUAGUGUUCUGUUUACAACCCUCUUGCUGUUUCCUUUUAUCCCAGGUCAGAGCAUCCUGAAGAAACUCAGAGAGCAAUCAAAAAGAAGUAAUAUCCUGCUGUGACAUAUUCCCAAAGGACACAAUGGAUUCAGUAUCUUUUGUAUUUGCCAUAUUAGUGUCAUCCAAAUUGCAAAAUUUACAGUCACUGAAUCACAAAUUUUCAGAAUUGGGAAGGACCUCAGAGGCAAUCUAGUCCAACUCAAGCCUGAAAAGGAAUGCACUUUACAAUAUUCCAGACAAGCUGACACUUAGCCUCUGUUACAAGACCAAUAAGGACUGAGAAUCGAAUGACUCUAGUAGCAGCCUAUUCCACUUUUCUAAGAGCUCCAAUGGCUAUUUCCCCCUUUUUAUAUGUCUCAACGCCAUCUCCCUCUUUUUAACUUCUACCUAUCAUGGUAGAUCUGACCUCUUGGCAGAGAGAGAACAGAACUAAUUUCUUUUUCAUAUGGAAACGACUCUUGGAGACUACACCCCCAAUGCCAAGAUUCCUCUUCUCCGGUAGAAUUUCCAAUUCUUCAAAUUGCCUAAACUCAGGUCUCAUCAGCUUCGGAUACUCUAUCAAUUAUCAAUGUCUUUACUAAAAUGUUAUGUCAAUGAGUUGUGUAUGGUUCAUGUCACUAGGGCACAAGACAAUGGGGCUGUCACCUACUUAUUCCUGAACGCUGUGGCUCCUAAGGUAUCAGUUUUUGCAACCACUAUAUAACUCUGCCAACUCAUUUUGUACUUGAAGUCCAUAAAUGGUUAUUUUGGACAAAUCGUUGUGUGUCUGUGUUUUUCAGAAUCACGUAAUUGACUGAUCAAUCUACAUGCCUUCAUGGUAGAAUAGGGAUUAAGAUUCAGUACUAUCUCUGCCACAAUUGAGGUUUGAUUCCCAGUCUGGGAAAUUAUUUCUAGCCAAACUGGUGUGUAUUGAUAGCACACUGAAUUUGCAAUCAAGAAGAGCUAGAUUCAAAUACUCCACAGAUUAAGUCUGCAUCACCUUUGUCAAGUUACUUAAGAUCUCUCUGACUCAGUUUCCUUAUCUGUUAAAUAAGGAAGUUGGAUUCAAUAACCUCUAAGAUACUUUUCAGCACUAAUUCUAUGAUUCUGUGAUACUAUUUACUAGACACCAGAGAUACAAAGAAAAACAAGAAAAUAGCCCUUAUGCUCAGUGAAUUUACAUUCUAUCAUUCAGAAGAAAGAUUCUCUACAAAUUCAAAUUAUAAUAUCCCUCAUUUUUGAUCCUUUAAUUGAUUUUUGAGUCCCAAGUCCUGUAUUCCAUGACUGUCUUCUCUCUGAGUAAAACAGAAAUGCAGGAAAUACAGAAAAUGAGUGUACCUGUGUAAUCGUCAACAUAAACAUCUUUAACAAAAGUUUACUGACAAUUUAGUUCAUUCUCAUUUCAUUAAGUGAUCAUGUAUCAAUGAAAAAUUCUUGUCUCCCAUACAGGGACUGUUCCAAACCUUUUUUUUUCUCUUUCUUUUCAUUUUUUUUAACCUGAGGAGGGGAAUGCAUGAAUCAAUAAUUACAAAGCAUUGCUCAGCUUCUCUGCUUACUUUCAUCUUGCAAUGAGAUUAAUAGCCAUCCUUGGGACACCAGCUGCUUUCUAUUCAUCAAAAGGAGGCCGGUGGCUGGCAAUUCUUUUGGAGUGCUGAGGAUUUGAUUCCCUCAUUUCAUCAAAAAUUCCUUUAUGCAUUGUGUUCUUCUAAUCCCUGGCAGAACAUUACUACAUGGAGUUCUUUGGAACAAGUUACAGAACCAAUUCUGAAAUUCUGAAAAGUCCUAGGUGUCACAUUUUAAAAGAAAAUUAAUAAGCUGGAGAGUAUACAGAGGAAAGUGCCCAGGAACAAGAGGAAUAUUUGAGCCAUAUGAGGUAAAUUAU